AGACCAGACUCCUACGGGAGGCAGCAGUGAGGAAUAUUGGUCAAUGGGCGAGAGCCUGAACCAGCCAAGUAGCGUGAGGGAAGACUGCCCUAUGGGUUGUAAACCUCUUUUAUGCGGGGAUAAAGGUGUCCACGUGUGGAUGUUUGCAGGUACCGCAUGAAUAAGGACCGGCUAAUUCCGUGCCAGCAGCCGCGGUAAUACGGAAGGUCCGGGCGUUAUCCGGUUUUAUUGGGUUUAAAGGGUGCGCAGGCGGAGGAUCAAGUCAGCGGUAAAAUGGGGAGGCUCACCCUCUUCGAGCCGUUGAAACUGGUUUUCUUGAGUGAGCGAGAAGUAUGCGGAAUGCGUGGUGUAGCGGUGAAAUGCAUAGAUAUCACGCAGAACUCCGAUUGCGAAGGCAGCAUACCGGCGCUCAACUGACGCUCAUGCACGAAAGUGUGGGUAUCGAACAGGAUUAGAUACCCCUGUAACU
rnacentral:rRNA from 1 species